rnacentral:lncRNA from 1 species
UUAACAAGCAAGUUUGAGAACCAGUGAUUGACGGAUCAUUUCUAGGAAGUCCUAUCAAAAUAGUCAUCUCCUCUGUUUUGUUGAGGAAUUGACUUGAAAGUAGGUGGAAGGAAGCAAUCAAUGCAUGUACCCAGUCUGCCACCUGGAAACAGAAUCCCCAUUCUGCUCUCAAGAAUCAUAACUAACUCACACAGCUUCAAUGACCGUGGUCAACCCAUAGUAUGGAAGAAUUGGAUCAGUCAAGACCCAUCUAGAAAUUGGAAACCAUUCUAGUCCUCUCAAAUUAAAAAGUGAUUACACAGUUGUUGGAAGACCUGGAGAACAAAAAGAGGACUCAAGAAACUGAAGAAUUAGUAAUUACAGGAAGCAGCUACGGCUUCUGAGUCUAGGGAAAAAAAGGAAGAGGUGGGGUUAUAAGAACCUAAUAGCUGAGACGAAGGGGCCUAACAGAGGUGGUGCUCAGACCUCUGUAGAGGGGGCAUUUCUCAAUGCUUCUGUUAGCUGUGGGGGACACAGUCAGGGUGGCUCUGAAAAUGACAAAAAAUAGGAAUUUGGAGAUUAAAGCUCACUGCUCUUCCAGAGCAGCACUGAUGGGGACAGCAGAAACAGGAAGUAAAUACCUGCUCCACUACUCCCACUUGCCAAAGCUUUCUUUAAUGCCCGCUGUCUGACCUAACUUGAAGCCAGCUCACAAUGAAAUGAAUACCAACGAUAGAAUCAGAACAGAGAAUAGAGGGUUUAAUCUACUGCCGAGAAACAAUAGAUAAAUAAUCUUCGCUGAAAAAAGCAACCUUUUUU